CCUACGGGUGGCAGCAGUGAGGAAUAUUGGUCAAUGGACGAGAGUCUGAACCAGCCAAGUAGCGUGAAGGAGGACUGCACUAUGGGUUGUAAACUUCUUUUAUAAAGGAAUAAAACGAGGCACGUGUGCCUGGUUGCAUGUACUUGAUGAAUAAGGAUCGGCUAACUCCGUGCCAGCAGCCGCGGUAAUACGGAGGAUCCGAGCGUUAUCCGGAUUUAUUGGGUUUAAAGGGAGCGUAGAUGGGUUGUUAAGUCAGUUGUGAAAGUUUGCGGCUCAACCGUAAAAUGGCAAUUGAUACUGGCAGUCUUGAGUACAGUUGAGGUAGGCGGAAUUCGUGGUGUAGCGGUGACAUGCUUCGAUAUCACGCAGAACCCCGAUUGCGAAGGCAGCUUACUAACCUGUCCCUGACAUUGAUGCUC
rnacentral:rRNA from 1 species